rnacentral:lncRNA from 1 species
GGCGACCAUGUUUGUUGAUAGAUCACAACUUCGGAUACAAUUUACAAACUAGAUACCCUAAGGAACAUUCAAUUAAAGUUUGGAAGUAUUUGGCCCAGUAGUUUCAGAGGAGAAGAUUUUUGUAAAAGAUUACUAAGAUUUACGAAAAAUGGUUAAAAAUUGACUAUAAAGGGCAAUAACUCCUAAAGGGGUCAACUGACCAUUUCCGUCAUGUUGACUUAUUUGUAAAUCUUACUUUGCUGAACAUUAUUCCUGUUUACAGUUUAUCUCUAUCUAUAAUAAUAUUCAAGAUAAUAACCAAAAACAGCAAAAUUUCCUUAAAAUUACCAAUUCAGGGGCAGCAACCCAACAACGGGUUGUCUGAUUCAUCUGAAAAUUUCAGGGCAGAUAGAUCUUGACCUGAUAAACAAUAUUACCCCAUGUCAGAUUUGCUCUAAAUGCUUUGGUUUUUGAGUUAUAAGCCAAAAACUGCAUUUGACCCCUAUGUUCUAUUUUUAGCAAUGGCGACCAUGUUUGUUGAUAGAUCAUAACUUCGGAUACAAUUUACAAACUAGAUACCCUAAGGAACAUUCAAUUAAAGUUUGGAAGUAUUUGGCCCAGUAGUUUCAGAGGAGAAGAUUUUUGUAAAAGAUUACUAAGAUUUACGAAAAAUGGUUAAAAAUUGACUAUAAAGGGCAAUAACUCCUAAAGGGGUCAACUGACCAUUUCCGACAUGUUGACUUAUUUGUAAAUCUUACUUUGUUGAACAUUAUUCCUGUUUACAGUUUAUCUCUAUCUAUAAUAAUAUUCAAGAUAAUAACCAAAAACAGCAAAAUUUCCUUAAAAUUACCAAUUCAGGGGCAGCAACCCAACAACGGGUUGUCUGAUUCAUCUGAAAAUUUCAGGGCAGAUAGAUCUUGACCUGAUAAACAAUAUUACCCAUGUCAGAUUUGCUCUAAAUGCUUUGGUUUUGAGUUAUAAGCCAAAAACUGCAUUUGACCCCUAUGUUCUAUUUUUAGCAAUGGCGACCAUGUUUGUUGAUAGAUCAAAACUUUGGAUACAAUUUAUAAAUUAGAUACCCUAAGGAACAUUCAGUUAAAGUUUGAAAGUAUUUGGCCCAGUAGUUUCAGAGGAGAAGAUUCUUGAAAUAGUUUACGACGACAGACGACGACAGACGACGGACGACGACGGACGCCAAGUGAUGGCAUAAGCUCACUUGUCCCUUCGGGACAGGUGAGCUAAUAA